rnacentral:tRNA from 1 species
ACCUGGGUAGCUCAGUCGGUUGAGCAUCCGACUUCGGCUCAGGUCAUGAUCUCACAGCUUGUGGGUUCGAGCCCCACAUCGGGCA